AACGAACGCUGGCGGCGUGGAUAAGACAUGCAAGUCGAACGCUGGCUAUCGAGUAGCAAUAUUCGGUGGUUGGAGUGGCGUAAGGGUGCGUAACACGUGGGUAAUUUGCCAUGAAGUCGGGGAUAACUCCGAGAAAUCGGAGCUAAUACUGGAUGUGAUUUUCCGGAGGCAUCUCUGGGCAAUCAAAGCUGGGGACCGCAAGGCCUGGCGCUUCAUGAUAAACCCGCGGCCUAUCAGCUAGUUGGUGAGGUAACGGCCCACCAAGGCGAAGACGGGUAGCUGGUCUGAGAGGACGACCAGCCACACUGGAACUGAGACACGGUCCAGACACCUACGGGUGGCUG
rnacentral:rRNA from 1 species